GUCAGCCAGUGGAAAGAUUUAGACAGAGAGAUAUGACCAGACUUGUGUUUUAGAAGAAUGGCUUUGGCAGCUGUAUGAGCAAAGGGCUUUCAGGAAGGAAGAACAAAUGCAGGGAGACAAGAGCACAUGCUGUCCCAGGAGAGGUCCAGUUGGGAGGGGCUGGAGAGGUGCUAAGCCAAGAGGAUCCAGGGAGAGCAGAGGCAGCUCAACAAGAAGGGGUGUUAAGGGCCUUGCUCAGAAGAAGGCUGGCUCCGAGGAGCACAGAGCGGUUUGGCUGGAAGAUGAAGAAACCAAGGCACAGACUCAUGUCCAGGACCCUAAAACCAGUGCAUGGUGGAGCCAGCAUUCAAACCCAGCACACGGGACGCCAGAGUCCAUGCUCCUAACCACUACAUUGUGAUGCCUUGAAACUCAUGGCAGAGAAGAGUUUGAGAGAAAGGUUUCAGAAAGACAAAAGUAGAAAUCCUGAAAGACUCUGAGCAUAAAGUUAAUGCUGCAGCAAUAGAUUUAGAAAAAUGAUGCAUGAUGAUCUAAGUGGAAGGUGUGACAUACCCCCAAAGAAAUGCUGAAUUCCCCAGGUAGGGUGGGGAUCCAAACAAAGGGAGACUUGUGCCUCAUUUCCUUAGUGGAACCGAAGGAGCAACAAGCCUCCCCUUGCUCUCUCUCUAUACCUCCACCAGUCACAGGCAGAGAAAGUAAAGGUGGGGCCUGCUGAGCACGUCAGAGCAGAAUGGGCAUGGCAUAGCUCCGUCAAGUCUCCCAGAGCUCCAGAGCAGCACAAAAAGGCAUCCAAAUAUUUCCUGUGCUUCCCUGUCCUCUCACCUCAAGAGGGAUGCAAAAGACAAGGCUGGAGUGACCUCAAGCAGUCUAGCAGUCUUGAAAGUUGUAUGAACUGGAAACACAAGUCCAGAGGAGAACAAGGCCAUCUUGAGGAUACCAGCAAGGAUAGAUCACUAUGCCCGGAAGCCAAUAGGAGCCAUCACAAAUAAACAAGAAUUUCUGAGGACAAAGGUCCCCCUCUUGAUAGACAUCAAAGUAUGAUGACUUAAGGCCCCAGAACUUAGAGGCAACUCAGGGAGAAAAUGGUGGGGGAAAAAAAACUCCGGAACAGACUUAAUAAAUAAUUGACCAAAGGUAGCCUGAGUUGAAUAUGAUUGAAAUUAAGUUCAGUUACAGAAUAAUGUUAUAUUUGUUUUUUGCACAGAGGAUUUUGCAGCCUGAGACUUUUACCUGCUUGGCUAUAAAGAAAUAAAACUUGUUUACCUUUGCAAACAG
rnacentral:lncRNA from 10 species